AUCUUUAUAGUAAGAGAAGCUUCUGUCUGUUUUUUUCUUUUUCGGAUCUACAGUUCUCAGAGAAAGGAAGAAGUAUCUACAAAUCUCAGAUAUUUUCGCAUAAAGCUUUCUUCUUUUGCACCCAAUUUAAUCACAGCCCACUUGUAAAUCAUCUCCAACACUUGCGCGUGUCUUUUGAUUGGAUCGACAUACAUACGGCUUCUCUCCUCCGCUUCCUUAGCUUCCAAAUCCCAAGUAUCAUUUUGUUGUAAAGCGAUCAUGGAGGUAUCUCAAACAACAGUCAACGUUGUGGUCUUCUUCAGUGUGUGGCUUAUCUUUCCCUGCAUCUUUAGGCUUAUCAAAUCAAACUUCUACAUGACCAACUAUCACCAGAAGGUCCAGGAGCUAGUCUUCUUCUGGUUUAUCGCUGAAACUCUCUCAGGCCGUCCUUGUAUCGACAUACCAGAGAUAGGCUCUGCUUGGGAAAUGAAGAAAAUGGUUAAACGUGGCUUCGGUUUGAAGAUACAGACUGAAUCCGAGGCUAUAAUUGCUGCUAAGAAUCUCUUCCAACACUGUAGCCAAGCCUAGAUCCGAUUUCAUUGAGUUGGAGGACUUAGCUCGCUUCCUUCCAGAAUAUGAUGCUUUGGCGACUUUUAACAUCCUACAAGGAGAGGGUGACAAAACCCCAAUCACCUGCUCCUCUCUCCAACAUUGGAUGUUAUAUGCAUUCAGACUUGAAAGAUCUCUUGUCUUGUCAAUGCAAGACACAGAUUCUAUACUCAGUUGUGUGACCAUCACAGCACACCUGGUUGUUUGGAUUGCAUUAGCCAUUUCUUCUGUCCCUAUUGUGCUACAGCUAGGCGGAUACAAGCUCCAGAUCUUCUAUGUUUCCUUGGCCUUUCUCGCCAUAACCCUACUUCCCACGCAGAGUUUGGCCCAGCAGUCGAUUCAGUAUUUCGUCCUUGUUCAUCCUAUGUUAGUUGGCGAAAGAUGUCGAGUUGAUGGUGUUGAAUUGGUGGUGAAGAAAAUAGGCCUAUUCUCAACAGUGUUUAUAGGACUCGAUAACAAGGAACAGCAAGUUAGCCAUAGUACUCUAUGGUGCAAGGGCAUUCAUAAAUAUAAAGGCAGUUCUCGGUUGGAGAAGAUGUCGUUGGUUCUGGGUUUAGGCUAAGAGGUAUUUGUUUCCAUUGACUACUUGCUAUGAGGUAUUUGUGUUUAAGGUACAACAGUAGUUUUCUUUGUUUUCAAGUCUUUGAAGAUCAAGAUAUAAAGAUGAUUUGUAGAGGGUUCAGUGCAUCUAUCAAGUAUAGCUAUAUAUGAUGCUUUCGAAAUACAUUUUGAUUCUUCGAACUCAAAUGCAUAAAAGGUUAGAUAUUAGAAGAGAAAUCCUUUAAGAAACCUGAUAGUUUAUGAAGAUCUCAAAGAUAAGUCGGUCAGUACUCGUCUAAGAAAACAACUUUCCUUUCAGGCAUUUCGUCCAACACUUGAUUGGGCAGGUUUUUCAACAGAUAGUAGCAGAGAGAGAAGCAGAGAUGACUUGGGAGAAGUUUUUAGUAAAGUUCCUUGAGUAGGGCAAUUCGUAAAUAAGGGUACAAAAUCAGUUUAUUGGGUUUUAGUGUUCGACCAUAUUGUUGUAAUUUGCUAUAAGGAUCCCUAUGCAGUUUGCAGUUUCAUUUAUUA